rnacentral:rRNA from 1 species
UACGUAGGGCGCGAGCGUUGUCCGGAAUUAUUGGGCGUAAAGAGCUCGUAGGCGGCUUGUUGCGUCUGCUGUGAAAUCCCGGGGCUUAACCCCGGGCGUGCAGUGGAUACGGGCAGGCUGGAGGCAGGCAGGGGAGAAUGGAAUUCCCGGUGUAGCGGUGAAAUGCGCAGAUAUCGGGAGGAACACCGGUGGCGAAGGCGGUUCUCUGGGCCUGUUCUGACGCCGAGGAGCGAAAGCGUGGGGAGCGAACAGG